UCAGGACGAACGCUGGCGGCGUGCCUAAUACAUGCAAGUCGAACGGUCUUUCUAUGGAAGCUUGCUUCCACUGAAAAGAUAGUGGCGAACGGGUGAGUAACACGUGGGUAACCUGCCCAUAAGAGGGGGGAUAACAUCCGGAAACGGGUGCUAAUACCGCAUAGUUUUCUUGAUCGCAUGAUCGGGAAAGGAAAGACGGCCUUUGUGCUGUCGCUUAUGGAUGGACCCGCGGCGUAUUAGUUAGUUGGUGAGGUAACGGCUCACCAAGACGAUGAUACGUAGCCGACCUGAGAGGGUGAUCGGCCACAUUGGGACUGAGACACGGCCCAAACUCCUACGGGAGGCAGCAGUAGGGAAUCUUCCGCAAUGGACGAAAGUCUGACGGAGCAACGCCGCGUGAGUGAAGAAAAGGUUUUCGGAUCGUAAAACUCUGUUGUCAGAGAAGAACAAGUUGGAGAGUAACUGCUCCAGCCUUGACGGUAUCUGACCAGAAAGCCACGGCUAACUACGUGCCAGCCGCUGC
rnacentral:rRNA from 1 species